rnacentral:rRNA from 1 species
AGCAGUCGCCGCGGUAAGACGAACCGUGCGAACGUUAUUCGGAAUUACUGGGCUUAAAGCGCGUGUAGGCGGGUCGGCACGUCGGUCGCUGAAAUCCCCGGGCUUAACCUGGGAACUGCGCUUGUGACUGCACAGCUAGAGUAUGGCAGAGGGGGGUGGAAUUCCACGUGUAGCAGUGAAAUGCGUAGAGAUGUGGAGGAACACCGAUGGCGAAGGCAGCCCCCUGGGCCAAUACUGACGCUCAUGCACGAAAGCGUGGGGAGCAAACAGGAUUAGAUACCCCAGUAGUCCCUGUCUCUUAUA